rnacentral:rRNA from 1 species
UACGUAGGGACCGAGCGUUGUCCGGAAUCAUUGGGCGUAAAGCGCGUGUAGGCGGGUCGGCGCGUCCGGUGCUGAAAGCCCCCGGCUCAACCGGGGAAGGGGCACGGAUACGGCCGGCCUGGAGGGGGGUAGGGGGACCUGGAACUUCCGGUGGAGCGGUGAAAUGCGUUGAGAUCGGAAGGAACGCCCGUGGCGAAAGCGAGGUCCUGGGCCCUUACUGACGCUGAGACGCGAAAGCCAGGGGAGCGAACGGG